rnacentral:rRNA from 1 species
AAAAAAAAAAAUCCCCACCCUGGAUGUGCUGGAUCUUGUCUGAUCUUGAAAACUAAGCAGGGUCAGGCCUGGUUAGUAUUUGGAUAGAAGACCAUUUGGGAAUACUGGGUUUGUA